CAGCUUCCCCCUCAGCCGCCGCCACUCCUCUUCCUCUACAACAAACCCUACCGAGAGCUUCUUCUCCGUCUACCACUCGCCGCCGUCGCCAUGAGCUCCGUCAACGCCACCUGAGCUGCGGAAUCGGACCACCGCGUCCUCCUCUACCUCCUGGACGCCGUCAAGGACGCCAACGCGCCAAGAUCUGCUCCACCUCGUCGAGUGCUGUCCGUCUACUUCCCAGCCUCCUCUUCUUCCUCUACGCCGGCAACCCUCUCUGCCUCCUCUUCCUCUUCGACGAGCACCAGGACGCCGACGCAGAGCAGUACGAGCAGGAGUACGAGCACCCUCAGGAGGAUCGUGCCUGUGCUUCUACCGCUGAUUUGACAGGCGAGCCCACCUUUUCACCUAUUUUACUUUUACAUGCUCUUUUGAUCUACUGCUAUCCCUAUGUUGCGAUUCUGUUGUGUCACGUGUCCUAUUCCACCUGUUACCUAUAUAUCCGAGUUACACCUCCUCGCCCUACCUAUUGUUUGUUGUUUGCCAGCUUUGCGAGUCGUAGGCGAGUUUAGGGUUUUUGUUGAUAUCUCGAAAUGUUCGGGAUAUCUUGUUGGGAUGUUGACACAUGUACUACCUUUUCGAAAAUGAAGUUGAUAACUUUUGCUACAAUUAAAAUUGAUAUGGGAUAAUAAUAUUGCAGAGGCAUCGGUGAGCCCCUUUGCGAAAGCAUCGGAUUUUUGUCUCGCUUGUGUCCCCUAGGACCCGAGUUCUUGUUAUCUGUUUCUAAGACUGAGCGUGCUAACCACUCGUGGGAGGUUUUAUCGGGACCCCCCAUCACCCAUUACCAUUUCUCAAGUCUGUUGAAAAGGGGGCCACAACCUUGGUUUUAUUUGGCGCAUGCAUGUUUAUAUACUGUUGCCUUCGGGUGUUUACUUCCUGUUGCCUUCGGGUGUUUUAUUCUGUACUACACUGCAUAAUUGCUAGACGACUUAUCUAGUGCUUGGCCGCUAGUGCCCGCCUAGACGCCUACGCAACCUCUAGGUCCGUAUCGGAGUACGGCCGAACUUCGUCACGGGUAACUUAGUUGGGUGGCCCCCCUAGGCAUUCUUGCAGAUCUGGGAACGGUCUUGUUGUGAGACUCCGCACUUGACUAUGCGGGUUCGAGCAUGCGUGUAUGGUAACAUUGGUGCACCCCUGCAGGGUAAAUCUUAUCGAUAAGCCGUGUCCGCGGUUAUGGACGACUUGGAGCUGUUUAACUCGAUCAUAGAACAACUUACACCUAAUGCUGACGCUAAUAACUUGCUAAUUACUUGCGUAGUAAGUUAGCCCUAUUAUAAUGGAAUGGAUAUAAAAUUGUCAACUGUGUGAGUGCCUUGCUAGUACCUCUUGGCUAAGGGGGUUCGCAUUGGCUGGGUUUUGUUUGCAGAGUAUAGAACUGCUAGUUUAUGCGCUCUCUCAUCUUCUCUGAUAGACGAAUGUUGUAGCGUGUCUCUAUUGGUUAGUUGCUUUGCUGCCGCUAAACUCCACAUAUAGCCGGGCGAAGUUUACACCGCCCACCAGCAAGCAUAGCUGGUCUUGUCUCGCAAGUACGUGCCACUUGGUUCUUACCCUCGUUUUUCUCUCUCUUUUUCCGGAACCCGCUUUUCGAUAAACAGGUACGACAGAUGAUGAGCAGUACGCAGGAGGCUACUUUGUCGAGUUCACGGACGACGACUUCGUUGCGUAGCAGGAUCGUUCCUAAGGCAGCAGCCUGUGGCUUGUUGGUUAUGGAUCCCGCUUGGUUAUCUUCAGGACUCUUAGUCCAAUUUGGAUCUUGUCUGUACCCAGACUUUUUGCUACCUCUAUGUAUGAUGUACCGA